CAAUGAUAGUAAUAACAGAGCUGGAAUUAGAAACAUUGUCUUGGCCAAAGAUGUUCAUGUAAAGAAGUUCAGAUUACAAAGUGACGGGGGACGAGCCACACUGCUGAGAGAUGACGAUGGAUGUUAGAUCUUUAUUGCCAUAUCGUGACGUAUCGCAUGUCCUUGAGCCUCCAUUUAAACACUGGUAGCAUUAAUGUACUGUAGGUUAACACGUCGUGUCUGCGGUGCUUUCAGACCGGACCAGGUAAACUUGUUUAAGUGGGCUUACAGGUUAUUUUCCGAAUCAUUUGUAGGACGCAACACACUUCACUGAACUUCUCUACAUUUAGAAUGCAUCCAUACGUGUACAAUGUGUGAGAGAAGGGAGUAAAAAAGUACAAAAAGAUUGACUUAUUGGUAAGAGAGAAAUACUUUAAGGGUUAGGGAAGGUGAAUUUGUCCAACUUACUAAACGCAUGGCUUUUAUAGUAAGGGCUGUCCUCUACUAGUUAGUGUAAAAUGAAAAACCAUUCACUGCACCUCUCACUACUUCAGCACUCAUUUACUUCCACUGAAAAAGACAAACUACUACAGAAAUCUCAAAUGCUGCAUUGGCCUUGUUUCUUCUCUACUUAAACGCUCUAAAAAAUAAAAUUUAAAACACUUUGAUAUGCAACCUGCAGGCUAAUUGGAGAAAAAAGUGGAUGUGAUGGUUAAUAAAAGAGGUUAUAAGUAAGUUUGAUGACAAUGCUCUCCAACUAUAGAUUAAUACUUAGUUCUUUCUUCUUAUUUAUUGUAACUCCAUCUGAGGGAAGCUUCACUCACGCACAGUUUGGAUUCCUCCAGUCCAUUUGCUUCACGAAUUCCUUCACAUUCAACAUCUGCUUAUACGUAUUGAGAUAGUGUGUUUAAAUGCACAGGGGCAGGCUUUUAGCUCUUAGCAACAUAUAGAACAGCUAAUCUACAAGGAAACAUGCUCCCACAGUUAUAGCAGUCAAAAGGGAACGCCUCGACUGAGCACAGAAAAGACAUCCCAUAGGACAAUACUUGUAGGAGAACCUACUGCGAAGUGAUUUCUUUCUCACUGUU